UUUUUUCUUUGGCCUCCAGGGCCAUAGAAAAGAUUUAAAAAUUAAAUAGGAUUAUUAGAUCCAUCAUAUUAGAUAAAAAAUGUCAUUAUUUCCUUAUUUAUUCAGAUCCACUUCACUGGUGUUCCUGUUUUCAUCUUUAUAUUGUCUGCUUUGUUAAAGCUUGGAUAUUGGGUAAUUCACGAUAUAUGUGUGUAUGGUUGGAAGAACAGUACCAUUGGAGAGGAAAUGGUUCCAGUGGUGUUCAUCACAAAGGACAAUGACAACCAAACAGAGGAGGAAAACGGUAAAGACAGGGAAGCGAAAGAAAGCGGCGGUGAUGACGGUGUAGUCUUAAGCAUAGAAGAAGGUACAUGUGGAGGAGUGUGAGAAGGCUGCAGGAAGAGUUUGACCCACCACGUGUACAACGCCUGGUUCAAAUCAUGUGUUCAUGAUCCUGUUAGAGGAAGGUUCACCGCUGGCACCCACUGGUGCUGUGUUGGUAGAUGCCAACAACCCCACCGCCAUGUCUUUGGGAAUUGUGACACCGUGUUUUGAGUGUUUGUAAAAAAAAAACAACACUGGUUGACGUUCAUAAUGCACACUGUUUGUAAUCUCUUAUUGCAAAAGUAUAAUAACUUGCUAAUUUACUCACACUAUGUGUAAAUUGCUUUAGGUGUGGCCGUAUGGAUGGGAACGUCGGUCUGUUUGUUGCGAGAACAGGUACUCUGAAUUGUCAUAGUGCCAUCAAGUCAAUAUUGGAAUUUGUCCAAUACUUUGAUUUAUGA